CCUUUAGCUGCACUUCCCAUGGCUUGGUAAUGGCUGACACAUCAGAUGCUGUCAUCAUCAUUGAUCGCAGCAAAUCUCGAUCUCGAUCUCGAUUCCAGUUUGUUUCACUGCUCCUUACCAAGUUGAAAAAUUCGCCCCUGAACCUGUUAGAGAGUAGCAAUUUAUUCAGGCAAUCGGAAGAAAAGCAGCCAAAAAACCUUUAGGAAAUCCAUCUCAAAAGUGUACUAAUUUAGUCACAAAGCUGUUUUAGGCAUCAUUAGGACUGGUUAACAAUGUUUCUUGAACAUAUAAUCAUUUUAUAAUAAGACUUUCUUGAAGCUAUAGGAGGUGCAGGUCCUCCAGUUGCAAUUGGAGAUUUAUUGUCAGCUUUUAAAACUUGUUUGAGCAUAAAAUAUGUCUCCAAGACAUAGUGAUCAGUGUACGGUUCAUUUUGACAAUUACCAAGAAACUCUUUGCCAAUCCAAUUAAAUCAAGAGGCUUAUAUAGACAAGGCACCAGAAUUAACACAUCAUAUCUAAUUGAGAUAAAUGAUGAAAUGGAGCUGGGGCUUCAGGAAACUUAUAAUAGUUUUGGUGGAAUUGCUCACCAAGAAUUAAAGGGAUAGUAAUUUAAUGUAACGGUAAUUGAUUUCAAAGUAAAUUACUAUUUCCUUUAAAGUUGAACGUUUCUUUGACUGAGAGAAUACAUGGAUAUGUUUCAGAGAGUACUUUUCAAGUUUUUCUUACCUCGUCUGCAUAAAAACAAAUUACAUGUUCUUUGAUUUGUUGAUGCUUGUCUUGUGUAUGUAUACAUAAAUUGGUUUUGAAAAC
rnacentral:sRNA from 1 species